UACGAAGGGUGCGAGCAUUGUUCGGAAUUACUGGGCGUAAAGGGUUCGUAGGCGGGAGCUUAAGUCAUGUGUGAAAUCCCCAGGCUCAACCUGGGACGUGCACGUGAAACUGAGCUUCUUGAAUCUUGGAGAGGGUGAUGGAAUUGCUGGUGUAGGAGUGACAUCCGUAGAGAUCAGCAGGAACACCGGAGGCGAAGGCGGGUCUCUGGGCCGAUAUUGACGCUGAGGAGCGAAAGCGUGGGGAGCGAACAGG
rnacentral:rRNA from 1 species